rnacentral:rRNA from 2 species
AACGAACGCUGGCGGCAGGCUUAACACAUGCAAGUCGAACGACAUAGUGGCAGACGGGUGAGUAACGCGUGGAAACGUACCUUUCACUACGGAAUAGCUCUUGGAAACGAGUGGUAAUACCGUAUACGCCCUUCGGGGGAAAGAUUUAUCGGUGAAAGAUCGGUCCGCGUUAGAUUAGCUAGUUGGUGAGGUAAGAGCUCACCAAGGCGACGAUCUAUAGCUGGUCUGAGAGGAUGAUCAGCCACACUGGGACUGAGACACGGCCCAGACUCCUACGGGAGGCAGCAGUGGGGAAUAUUGCACAAUGGGCGAAAGCCUGAUGCAGCCAUGCCGCGUGAAUGAUGAAGGCCUUAGGGUUGUAAAAUUCUUUCGCUAGGGAUGAUAAUGACAGUACCUAGUAAAGAAGCCCCGGCUAACUUCGUGCCAGCAGCCGCGGUAAUACGAAGGGGGCUAGCGUUGUUCGGAAUUACUGGGCGUAAAGCGCACGUAGGCGGGUUAUUAAGUCAGAUGUGAAAUCCCAAGGCUCAACCUUGGAACUGCAUUUGAAACUGAUAGCCUAGAGAUCAGGAGAGGUUAGCGGAAUACCGAGUGUAGAGGUGAAAUUCGUAGAUAUUCGGUGGAACACCAGUGGCGAAGGCGGCUAACUGGACUGAUACUGA